GAAACUAGUUGGCUUUGUUAACUAUCAGAUGAAAUGCAGUUUCUCCUAAAAAUUAUUUGUACAGUGAACUCUUACUGCUACAAGAAAGAACAAAGGGGCUUAUAUGCAUAUUAGAUUAUGGCAUAUUCCAGUUUAAUUCUCUUGGGGAUCGACAUUAGUACUCCGUGGAUUCUCUUUUUGUAUUUAAAAAAGAUGGAAAAAGAAAUCCCUCUCUACCCAGUAAUGAAAGGCAGUUAGUUGUUGUAGAUGCAAAACUUUAACCCCCAAGGGAUUGAAAAUUCAAAAGAAAAGAUGGGAUGGAAAAAUAACUUUUCCAUUAACAUCUUACCAUCCCCAGAAAAGAAAAGAAAAAUGUCAAGAAUGUCAAGACUGAUUUUAAAAUCUGUAAUGCAUAGAUGAUUACCCCUUGCUUGACAAUGGUUACAUUGGGGAGGCAAUAUGCAAUUGCAAAAAACAAUUAUCCUGAUGAUCUCCAGAUCCUUCCCUCCAGAGAAACAACCAUGACAGAGACGUCAUCAUGAUAUUUACGCCGAUCUCCAUUAGGAAUGUCAAGCAGUUCAUGAAAAUCCAUGCCAUUCUUUUUGGCAGCACGGAAGAGAAGCUCUGCAAUGAGAUACUGUGCAGGAUCACCUUCAGGGACAUUUUCCAUGAACCACGUGACAUGGGCAACUACCUCUUCAUUGCUGAAGUACUGGUAAAGCCCAUCAGAGGAAAGAACCAAGAACCGAUCACUUGAGGAAAGUCGAUGGUGAACGACAGAAGGAAUGCAGCUAACAUAGGGAUUAGUUCCCAUGUAAUUGAUCCGGAAAAUCUCCAAAAGAGCUUCAUUGCAAGUUGGCUUCUUCAGAAAUCCAGCACCAAAUGCUCUGGUUACUUUUAACUGCCCCUUCACUCGAUCAUUCAAAAUGGCUUGGUUGUCAUCAGGAUGUUCUGCCUUUACUCUAAACACUUCCUGUUCAAUACUUGUGCUGUGAUCAGUGGAAAGUUGAACCGCCCUCAUCUUCAAUCUGCAAAUGGAGAUAUCUCUAUUCUUGUUGAUCAUAUUAACCUGACUAUUUUGAUUAUGAAUUGGGGACUCCUCUGAAAUUCUGUCCAGCUCCAUGCGUACUAAUGACUCUCUGGAUCUGUUCCUGUGCCUCAAGUCAUCCUUGGCAAAACUUGGAUUUGGAUGGCGAUCAUUAGGCCUCUCCUGUGCCAAGAUUGCACGGCUAUCCCCAAGGUUCAUAACAUACACAUCUUGAUCCUUCAUUAACAUUACGAGAACACAAGAACCCAUCAAAGCGAGCUCUGCAUUUUUAUCAAGGUUCUUUUCCACCAUCUCCAUGUAUGCCUCUUCGGUGCAUUCAAGUGCUCGAGACAUUGCUUUUAAAACUGCAUCAUGAUCAACAAUUCCUGAUUUACAUCUCCUGAAAGGUCCAGGAGGUUCUACAACUCUCUCAUCAGCACAGAUCUCCUCUCUAUGCCAAUCAUAACUCCAAGGAAAGAGUUUCUUACGCAAGGACUUCUGCUUCCUAUACAUUUUUCUGAUCUUUGAACUAAUAAUAGACUUUCUUGUACUCUGUUGUUGCUGUGAAACAUUAAGCUCAGUUAUGAUUUCUGGAUUACUAGAUUCAAACCUAACCCCUCCAUCCUCUCCAGAUGUUGAGGGACCUUCAACUUGUUGAUUAGAACCAUCACCAUUGUCAUUGUUCAAUGUACAAGAUCUUUGCUGUUCAAGUAAAGUCAGUCUGGAAUCCAAAGGAUCUGAACUUGGCUGACAACUCCACGCAUUCCUCCUUUUACUUUCAACCAGUGACAUUGAAAUAAAACCUAAGUCAUUGCAUGAUUCCAUUUGUAGCAGCUCAUACAACCGCAUACUUUUCCUUCCUCGGCCAGUCAAGUUGGCAGUUGGAAUAGAAGCAGAAGCGGAGCCUGAGAUGCUAGGCCUUUUACAGUUAGAUGAUUGCUGUUGGUUGCUCUUAACAUCAUCAUAUUCCUCCACAAUUUCACAAUUAGAAGAUUGAUCCCUGACAACUCCUGGAUUGCAAGCUUUUUCUAAACCACAAUAAGUUACUUGACUCGAAUUUGGCUGGUUUUCCUUCCCACACUCUGAACCAACAUCAGCAUUUCUGCACUUAGAAAUUUCAGGUUUUAUCGGACCACUUACAGAUUUAUCUUCAUAAUCCCACAGUACCCCUUCCAAUUCCUUAUCUAUAGCUCUAUAAAGAUGACUCAUGAGAAAAUCUGGUGCAUCUGGGCCACUAAAGCCAUCAUAAAUCCCAAUAAACAACCAUCCUUGCUCUUCAGAAAGCACAACAUGAACCCUAUCCUCACCAGCCUUCCCGUGGGCCCACUGUAAGUUACGACUGUUCACAUACUCCCCUUCUGAUGAUCCUCCUUCAAGAUUUCGUGAAGCUUCUGGUCGAAACUUUGGCUCUCUAACAUGCCAGGCCAAUUGGACUGCUGGAUGCAAGAAAAACCUCUGCAUCCAACCUGCCCCAAUUGAAUGUUUUGAGAAUGUCCGAGAUAGUGUAUUUUUCAUUGGUCGACUCACCCUGCUCACUAGCUGCUGAAAGCGAGGUCUUCUACGGCCACGUGCAAGAGGAGCAGAAAAGUUGGAUUUGUCAGCACCAUCAAGAGGACCUGACAUUACCCCCUUCUCAAUUGGUCCAGAUAUAAAACCACUGCCCCUCUCUAAAGGACCAGAAGCAAAACCUCUCUCAAGGGGCCCAGACAUGAAUCCAUUCAAAGGUCCAGAGCCACGAGGCACUGGCUGCAAUGGGAUUGCAGCAAAUGAGGAGGUACUCUCAAAUGAUGCAGCAGGCUCUUGCAUGUCACUAGCAAACAAUGCACUCUGGUUACCAGUCCUAGCAGUUGAAACAUUGGCACUAACAGAUGCACCCGAUAUGGUUUUAAAUGUAGUUUCAGGGAAAGUCUUGUUUGGUCUAUGCAAACCAGACGGAUCAUCUAUUGAUUCAUGUCUAAAUGACCCGCUUAAAGUUUCGGAAUCUAGGGUGCUAGAAUCAACUGUAAACCUCUCAGAGUUUGAAGGGGUAAUGGCAGGAGAGUCAAAAAUCGAUGGCCUAACAUAACAAAACGAAUGGCCUAAUCCCUCAUCCAGCGGCUCUAAAAAUUCUAAAUCAACACCAUUUUUUCCAUUAAACGGCACAAAACAACCCACAACACGAGAAGUGCCGUUACCCAUUUCGCAAACAUAUACCUCACGAAAAAGAGAUACAGGACCUCUGUUACGGAGGGCUUAUCUCACUUUGCACCAUAAGGAUAUAGAAAAUGAAAAAAAAUUAAACAAAAUCUCAAAAACCCAUUAAAAACCCCAACCACCUUAUAACUUUUCAAGUAACUAUACAUCAUCAAAUUCUCAUGCUCCAAGCAUUAAAACCCAGAACCCCCGAUGUAAAACGAACUACACCCCGUUUAUAUUUAAAGCAGCAAAAACUUCCAGCUUAGCUAUUCAGCCAGAGUAACAGAACCGAUGCUAUCAGCAAUUAAAAUUGAAGGGAAAAAAAAAAAGAACUAUGCAGAGCUAAAGUAAUAGUUGUGUAGCAUAAAAUGUGAUGAUCUGACCUUGAGGGGGAGUGUUAAAGCGGAAAUAAAGCAGUGGAUCGAGCACAGCAGCAAACAGAUCUAAGAAACAGUAAAUGGAACACAUCAGAUACGAACCAAGACACAAAAUCCAUUUAGAUUUUUUUUCUCUUUGUGGAAUCUGACAAAGUCUCCAAAUAAAAAAAAAACCCAGAUUGAUUCCACCCCAUACGAUUGAAUCAUGCGCACAUAUACAACUGCUCAAAACCCCUCCAACACCAUAAAAAUUAAGCCCAAGAAGAAGAGCAAGAAGAGAAAUAAGAAGAAGAAAAAGAAAAAAGAUAUAGACCCAGAAGAGGUUUUUCAGAGUUUAGAGACUGAAGAAUCAAGAAAUAGAGGGAAACGAGAAGUGAAGAAAGGAGGAAAUAUGGGUAAUUGUUUUAGACUUUCUAGUGAGUGGCAAUUAAAAAAAU
rnacentral:misc_RNA from 1 species